CCGGGCUAACAACGAACCCUACAAUCCGGUAGUUUUUCGAGUGAACUACCCAACUCGUUGUUUUACCCCGGGCUAACAACGAACCCUACAAUCCCCCAAUUUUAACUUAGGCUUGGGACACCUAUCCUUUGUUCCAAGUCCCUUGACUGGAACAAGCUCAAUAUUCAAACGUUUUACAAAGAUUUAAAAGCUCUUAUGAAG
rnacentral:lncRNA from 1 species